rnacentral:rRNA from 1 species
UGGUGGAGUGAUUUGUCUGGUUAAUUCCGUUAACGAACGAGACCUCCGCGUGCUAAAUAGUCUGGCUUACACUUUGUUGUAGGUUCGGACUUCUUAGAGGGACUUUUGGGUAAUCAAACCAAAGGAAGUUGGAGGCAAUAACA